rnacentral:rRNA from 1 species
UACGAAGGGGGCUAGCGUUGCUCGGAAUCACUGGGCGUAAAGGGUGCGUAGGCGGGUUUUUAAGUCAGAGGUGAAAUCCUGGAGCUCAACUCCAGAACUGCCUUUGAUACUGAAAGUCUUGAGUAUGGGAGAGGUGAGUGGAACUGCGAGUGUAGAGGUGAAAUUCGUAGAUAUUCGCAAGAACACCAGUGGCGAAGGCGGCUCACUGGCCCAUUACUGACGCUGAGGAGCGAAAGCGUGGGGAGCGAACAGG